rnacentral:rRNA from 1 species
GAGCUUGCUCCUCUGAUUUAGCGGCGGACGGGUGAGUAACACGUGGGUAAUCUGCCUGUAAGACGGGGAUAACUCCGGGAAACCGGGGCUAAUACCGGAUAACAAGAGAAGAAGCAUUUCUUCUUUUUGAAAGUCGGUUUCGGCUGACACUUACAGAUGAGCCCGCGGCGCAUUAGCUAGUUGGUGAGGUAACGGCUCACCAAGGCGACGAUGCGUAGCCGACCUGAGAGGGUGAUCGGCCACACUGGGACUGAGACACGGCCCAGACUCCUACGGGAGGCAGCAGUAGGGAAUCUUCGGCAAUGGGCGAAAGCCUGACCGAGCAACGCCGCGUGAGCGAUGAAGGCCUUCGGGUCGUAAAGCUCUGUUGUUAGAGAAGAACAAGUACGAGAGUAACUGCUCGUACCUUGACGGUACCUAACCAGAAAGCCACGGCUAACUACGUGCCAGCAGCCGCGGUAAUACGUAGGUGGCAAGCGUUAUCCGGAAUUAUUGGGCGUAAAGCGCGCGCAGGCGGUCUCUUAAGUCUGAUGUGAAAGCCCACGGCUCAACCGUGGAGGGUCAUUGGAAACUGGGAGACUUGAGUGCAGGAGAGAAAAGUGGAAUUCCACGUGUAGCGGUGAAAUGCGUAGAGAUGUGGAGGAACACCAGUGGCGAAGGCGGCUUUUUUGGCCUGUAACUGACGCU